rnacentral:rRNA from 1 species
CCUACGGGAGGCAGCAGUAGGGAAUUUUGCUCAAUGGGCGAAAGCCUGACGCAGCAACGCCGCGUGAACGAGACGCCCUCCGGGGUGUAAAGAUCUGUCUGUGGGGACGAAAGAUGACGGUACCCACAGCGGAAGCACCGGCUAACUCCGUGCCAGCAGCCGAGGCAACACGGAGGGUGCAAGCGUUGUCCGGAAUCAUUGGGCGUAAAGAGGUCGUAGGCGGUAUGUUAAGUCUGGUGUUAAAUGCUGAAGCUCAACUGCUGUACGGCACUGGAUACUGGCAAACUAGAAUGCGGUAGAGGUAAGGGGAAUUCGUGGUGUAGCGGUGAAAUGCUUAGAUAUCAGGAGGAACAUCGGUGGCGUAGGCAGUUUACUGGGCCGUAAUUGACGCUGAGGAACGAAAGCCAGGGUAGCAAAUGGGAUUAGAUACCCCAGUAGUC